rnacentral:rRNA from 1 species
CUAAUACAUGCAAGUCGAGCGGACAGAUGGGAGCUUGCUCCCUGAUGUUAGCGGCGGACGGGUGAGUAACACGUGGGUAACCUGCCUGUAAGACUGGGAUAACUCCGGGAAACCGGGGCUAAUACCGGAUGCUUGAUUGAACCGCAUGGUUCAAUUAUAAAAGGUGGCUUUUAGCUACCACUUACAGAUGGACCCGCGGCGCAUUAGCUAGUUGGUGAGGUAACGGCUCACCAAGGCAACGAUGCGUAGCCGACCUGAGAGGGUGAUCGGCCACACUGGGACUGAGACACGGCCCAGACUCCUACGGGAGGCAGCAGUAGGGAAUCUUCCGCAAUGGACGAAAGUCUGACGGAGCAACGCCGCGUGAGUGAUGAAGGUUUUCGGAUCGUAAAACUCUGUUGUUAGGGAAGAACAAGUACCGUUCGAAUAGGGCGGUACCUUGACGGUACCUAACCAGAAAGCCACGGCUAACUACGUGCCAGCAGCCGCGGUAAUACGUAGGUGGCAAGCGUUGUCCGGAAUUAUUGGGCGUAAAGCGCGCGCAGGCGGUUUCUUAAGUCUGAUGUGAAAGCCCCCGGCUCACCGGGGAGGGUCAUUGGAAACUGGGGAACUUGAGUGCAAAGAGGAGAGU